rnacentral:rRNA from 1 species
AAAUGAAUUGACGGGGGCCCGCACAAGCGGUGGAGCAUGUGGUUUAAUUCGAUGCAACGCGAAGAACCUUACCAGGUCUUGACAUCUGGCGAACCCUGCGGAAACACGGGGGUGCCUUCGGGAGCGCCAAGACAGGUGGUGCAUGGUUGUCGUCAGCUCGUGUCGUGAGAUGUUGGGUUAAGUCCCGCAACGAGCGCAACCCUUGCUAUUAGUUGCUAACAGAUUAAGCUGAGCACUCUAAUGGGACCGCCCGUGACAAGCGGGAGGAAGGUGGGGAUGACGUCAAAUCAUCAUGCCCUUUAUGAUCUGGGCUACACACGUGCUACAAUGGAUGGUACAGAGAGCAGCGAAGCUGUGAAGUGGAGCGAAUCUCAAAAAGCCAUUCUCAGUUCGGAUUGUAGUCUGCAACUCGACUACAUGAAGUCGGAAUCGCUAGUAAUCGCGAAUCAGCAUGUCGCGGUGAAUGCGUUCCCGGGCCUUGUACACACCGCCCGU